CUCCUGAGGUUUUUGGGGACUCCCCCUGCCCUUCGCACCCUGAACAACAUCUCCAGCCAUAGGCUGGAGAAACCAUAGGAUGGAGAAACCCCAUCACUGAAACAUUUUUACACUGUUACAUCCAAUAUAUGUAUGUUUAGUUAUACACCAAUCAUAGACAUGCACUAUUAUACCAGUAUAGUAGAUAUAUGAUAAAGCACAGCAUUACACAGCGAGAUAAAUGCAACUCUCUAAUGCAUACAGACAUAUUUGUGUGUGUAUAGAAUAUACACAAAGCAAUAUUUUUUUACAGGAAUUUGCAUGUGGUGCAGAUGAGAGGUACAUCCCUCCUCUGCAGACCCCUUAACCACAGGAUCCAGACAAGCCCCUCAGGGCAGCUCCCUGGCUGUCCAUCCUGGACCCCCUCUCUCCUAAAGCUGAGCCUCCUUCUCCACCCCAGCCCAGACCUCUCCCUCUUCCAGGCAGCUCACCCUCCACUCUCCUCCAUCCCAACACCGGUUGGGGAGUCAGAACAGCCUGGGAUUAACUUUGGACGGCUGCCUCCCAGCUGUGUGACUAUGAACAGUGUAUGGCGCCUCUCCAGGCUUCAGUUCUCUUCUGUAACUUGGGAUCAUAGCACCAACUUUUCAGGGUGGUUGUGAGGACAGAAAGAGGAAACACCUAGAAGGGAGCCUGGCCCAAAAAGGGUGGUCAACGAAUGGUGGCCAUCACUGUUAUCUUGCCAGAUGAGUUCACUUCUGCCUCCAGCCCUGCUGCAUACUGAUCCUUCCUUCCCUGCUGCGGGCCCCUUACCUUUCCUCCCCACCACUCCCAAUCCUCCAGGCUGGUGCUUCAGGACCCGGUUAAAGUGCUAACUUUUCUAACCACUCCAGCCCACUGAACUACUCCCCAGAUUCUCCCUAUGCCGGGAUCCCCUGACCGGCUGCCCUUAGGCCCAGGAAGCCACAGAUUGCUGAUUAACCCUUUCUGUCUACUGUCACUGCCCCAGCUGCUUAUAGGCUCCUAAAGGGCAGAGGCCACAGAGCUCCAGUGUCUUUGGUACCCACCACAGACAGUGCUCAGGCAAAGCUGCUGAAGUGGAUCAGUGCCGUCAAUCACAGGGAUCUGAGGUCUUCCAAAACCCUCCACCCCGUUACAUUUUACCACCCCUUGUCCAUUUGCUGAAAUCACAAGGCUGGGUCUGUGGGCCUGUGAAAUCCCUCAGGCCCCUGUAGAAGAGGCCACUCCAACCAGACACUCCAGCAGGUUCUGCUGAGCACAGAUCAGCAUCUAAUCACGUUUCCAUCACAACACGGUGAGAAACGUGUGACUGGCCCUUAGCAACGGUCUCUCAAGAAAGCUACCCCUAUAGAGAGCUCAUUAAGUUCGCUGCACACACGUGAGGCAAAAUCUAAAAACAGACCUGUGCUUUCUGAAGCCUCCUGCAGCACGUGGCAGAAGCUGGAAAGGGCAAGGACAGAGAUUUGCUCUAAAUAAGGGCAGGGAAAGAGAAAGCCCCUGAGCGGGUCCAGAUCCCAGAGAAAGAUGGCACUGGACUCCCUUGCUGGGGUGAGCAUCUGCAGAGUGGAGAGCCCUAAGGUGAGGCCAGGCCAGCCACCCCCACCCCAUCCUACCCCACCCCAGCCACAAGCUGCUCCCAGGCCCCGGUGCUGGGGAGCUCUCCUUCACCCCAGUAAGCCCCUGUGUCGUUUGGAACCCAGGAAAGAGCAUCACCUGGAAUUGGCCGUGAUGAGAGUUUGAAAUAGUAAGAUAAGAACUUAACAUUUAAAACUUAAAAUUCAUUUCAAUCCAGCAAACCUCAGGAACUUACCAUGUUGCAAACCACUUUCCUGGGUGACCCAGUCCUCACUGUUAAGAAGUUUACAAGAACAUGUAAGACUUACAACUCAUACCCACAAUUCAGGAUGACACACAGUGAAUGCUGUAAUGGAGAAGCAGGCAAUGCAUUCUGAAGGCAGAGAGAAAGGAAAACCACCACCAAACAGGGAAUCAGGGAAGGCUGCAUGGAAGAAACGGCACCUGCCCGGGGCCUUGGCUCCUAACUCCUGGUACCUGAAAGUUGUCUUCUUCAGUGUUCAGUUGCAUGCAGCUAGCGCUGGUUAAGUAGUUAAUUAAGAAGGUGUCUUGAGAACUUGGUUACCACCUGUUCCCUGGUUUGCUGAGGGAAAGUUGCGGCUUCUGCUAAGUUUUAAACAUAGCGGAAACCACUUACAAAUUAAUGAUGGAAUUAGGCUGGGGUGCAGGCUCACACCUGUUAUUCCAACACUGUGGGAGGUCAAGGUGGAAGGAUCACUUGAGCCUAGAAGUUGGAGGCCAGCCUGGGCAACACAGCAAGACCCUGUGUCUACGAAAGAAAAAAAAAAAUUAGCCAGGUGUGGUGGUGGCCUGGGUCUACAGUCCCAGCUACUCAGGAGGCUGAGGCAUGAGGUCCGUUGGAGCCCAGGAGUUCAAGGUUACAAUGAUUGCACCACUGCACUCCAGCCUGGGCAGCAGACUGAGGCCCUGUCUCUAAAAAAUAAAAGUUAACUAUUAAUGGUGGAAUUAAAAUAGAAUGUAUUGGUCCUCAAAAUAUGGUCCCCAAACCUGCAGCAUCAGUAUCACCUGAGAACACUGUAGAAAUGCAUAUUCUUAGGCCUUACACCAGACUUACUGAAUAGAAACUUGGGGAGUGGAGCUCAGCAAUCUCAGUUUUAUCCAGCCCUCUGGUGAUUCUGAUGCAUGCUCAAGUUUGAACAGCUCUCAUGUAAUUACUUGAAGCUAAGAUGAGAAAUGAUUGAUUUCUGUGCCAAAAACAAACAAACAAAAAAACCAAACUUGUAGAAACUGCCCAGCUUGACUGCCUCCCUCAAAAGAGUAUUUGUUGUCCAGGCACAGUGGCUCACACCUGUAAUCCCAGCACUUUGGGAGGCCGAGGUGGGUGGAUUGCUUGAGCCCAGGAGUUUGAGACCAGCCUGGGCAACAUGGUGAAACGUUGUCUUUAGGGAGCCAACUGGAAGGUGGCUAGAGGGACUGGGAGCACAGACACCAAGGACCCUGCAGCCUUACUCCCUGUGCUGGUCUUCUCCCUUCCUUAUGGAGACCAUGGUGGUACCAUGGGCUCUCCUUAGCUCACUGUGGUGGAAAAGUAGGAAAGCCAACUGGGGCAGCAUAGGCUGCGGAGUUAGCUUCUGCUUUUAAAAUGGUUUUGAAAUGCAAGGCAGUCCCAGCCACCUUCAUGGAAUGCUAUCCUUGAUGCAAAAUCAGCACAAGGGGUAAACACUGAUCCUUUUCUGUGGAGUACACACACAAAAGACAGUCUUUCUGCAUUAAAGGGAUAGCAAACCUGGAAGGUGAAGCAAAAAGGAUGUGCGUUCCACUCUGACGUGUGUUUGAAAAGAAUGAAGAAGAGCCGGCGAGGGAGUCAGCGUCUUCACCUAAAGGUCUUGGCAGGCCACUGGACAACAGUAAAUGGGUCUGAAAAAUAACAUCAUAUACAGCUGGAGAGGGAAUGUCCAGGAGAGCCCAGAGUUUGAAAUACAGGCUAUCAGACAUGCGGGCACUGGAGCCUGGGUCAGAAGUGUCUGGGUCCACACAGGCUGCAGCUGGCAAAGGGGUGGCAUGAAGAGGGGGAGCCUCUGUGUAGUGUUAGCUGGGAGAGUCCUGCGCCAUCCUCAGAGUCACCAGGAGACUCCAUUCCCAGGAGGCAGACACUGAAACGUCUUUCUCUUAGCAAGGAGGCAGCUGUCACACCUUCUUCUGAGAGAGCCACACUCAAAGCUGGAACACUAUGGACUGUGCUUCUCUUUCAGACCCAUGGGUCCGGUAAAAGUUGGCAACAAAGGAGUUGCUGAGAC
rnacentral:lncRNA from 10 species